AUAGUGUAUAACCAUAAACAAUCUGAUGUAAAGUAAAUUCCAUCGCAGGUCCUAAUUUCUGUAUCUAAAUUGCUUCCAUUGCUUGCUCAACACACUUUUUAAACCUCAUUUAUAGAAACAUUGUCAUAUUUGUGCAGUGUUUUUGUGGCUCUGAAUGUCCACAGUAUGGCUUUUUGUGAAGGAUGGCUGAUUAAAAGCUCUGGAAGUCCAGAAAUAAGGUCAGAUUUGCCCAAUACUUACUAAAGCCUCCAUUCAAACAGGUUGUUUCGAUGACAAUGAAAUUUGGUAACUUAUUUCUUGAAUUUCCUAUAUAUGUCAGGAAAUCAUAGAAGAGUAGAUAUCUUUUUUUCCCCUGACUUUCCUCUUAGCUCUGUUGUAAAAUUAUCAAGGUCUCCUGGGACGGUUGCUCUGUUUUAUUUAUAUGGGGCACAUGUCGUAUUGGUGGAUAAAGUGAUGGAUCCACAUGCUGAAUGUACUUUUGCAAAGUUCUUUGGCAUCACAGAUGUUCCACAAAUGAGAGAAAACACUUGGAAUAAAUGGCAACAUACAAGUGCAGCUUCCUUUGGCACUUUUCACAUCUGGGAAAUACUGAGUCAGGAAGAGAAAGGAGAUCAGUAGCAUCAGAUGUGGUUCAUCCUAUUUACUGGGUCAUCCUUUUCUAAAUCAAGCCUUAUUGAGUAAUCCAGUGACACAAUACUAGAUGCUUCAGAGAAUAAUGGAAACAUAUUUGGGUCACCAUGGAGUAACUCAUUUGUUUUUUUUUUUUUUUUACUUGGCAUUGCCCACAAGAUGGGAAUUGUCCCAGCUUUGUUCUGUCAGUACAGGAAACACUCAAUAAAUAUUUGGUGAAAUAAAUCCAGGUCAGACUAUGUCCCCAAUGCUGAGAUACAAAAGUAAAUAAGGCACAUUCCAACCCUGGAGAAGUUAAUAGUUUGACAGAAAAAUCAAAGAAGCUAGCAAAAGGGUAUAAUAAAAUGUGAUAGAAGUAAAGUGCUGUGAGAGCCUGGUAAAGAGUAAGAUUAAUUAUUAGGUGGAAUAAGGAGUGUAGUCACAGCAAAGAUGACAUCCUUCAAGAUCCAGUAGGCAGAGAAGCCAAGGGAGACGGGAGAGAGAAGAGGGUGUUCUAGGAAGCAUCUGUGAGGCCUCAAUGAGUGAGAGCACAGUGUAUACUCAUGGAAAUCUAUCUAGUUUAGUUUGGACAAAACAUGAAGAUGCUGAAGGUGGGGGGGGUUGACAGUAAAUUAGGUCUGCAACAGCUGGUUGAGGUUGGCUUGUGAAAAGCAUCAUAAAUCAGACAAAGGAGUUUGAAUUCCAUUUCCCCCACUGAAAACCUCAAUUUUUAACAGCUCCAUGUUGCCUGUCAGACUGGAUUUUCCAAAAGCUGUUCCUGGGCAUGCUAGUUUUAUAAAGUGUUAAUAAGUGUUAAACCAAAACCUCUAUUCAGCUUUCAGUUGAAGGUGGAAACCUGGAGGAGCUUUGUAAUUGUCUGGAGGAGCUAGUAUGGAGCCCAAGGGAGAGAGAAUUUCCUGAUAUGUGUACAGUCUAUCCCUGUCUUAAACUAAAUAACUGCAAAGGUAGACCCCCUAGUUCUAUCUCUCUUUCAAAUGGAUUUUGCCAUUCUGCCCUUCAGCAAAAUAAGACUGGCCUGCACUGAGAAUUAUAGCAGGAAGUUAUUUGAUGCGACUUUUAUGUGCGCUUCAUCUGAAUAGCUGGAUUGUCUUUAUCUUAAAGGCAAUGUGAAUGUUGUCAUUGUCCCUUUUUUGUCAUAAACACCAGGAAGCCAGAGCCAGAUCUGUGGCUCACUUCCCGAGGAGGGUCCUCAGGGCAUGCAUUUGUAGGUAAUAGCUGAACCCAGGAUUUUGUGUGACUUCCUACAUUUGUAUUCUUUUUGCUAAAACACCUUCAUCUAUUUAUUUGAUCAUGUUGCAAGCAUUCUGUAACCUCUCUCUGAUAUUUGGGGCAGGGGGAAGCUGAGAUUAAGGUAGUGAACAUAUAUAUCACUUACCAGAGUGCCUGGCAUACAGUACAUAUGAAAUAAGGUCUUGUUCUUUAAUUUUAUUUUAUCACGGUUUUAAUCCCACCUACUCCACUGCACAGCCCCCAUGUUAACAGAAAUGGAAAGGCAGCAUAUAUGACUGACAGAAAUGAUAUUGAAAUCCUAUUUUCAUGGUCUCGGGCUCUUUAAGCACAAAACUAAAUGGACAAGUAUGAAUAAUUGGCAACUGUGAGUCCGUGAAAGUUGUGAUGUGAGAAAGACAAGUCAGUAAGUCAAAGAGGUGGUAAAUGGAGUUUCUAAUCUGAUAAGGGAGUUGUGACAUCACUAUGGGCCUUAGAAUCCUCAUGUGUACAAUGGGAACAGUACUGCAGCCUAUCUUAUGGAGUCAUUAUCUUGAUUCUGACUUUAUAUGAGUAAAGUGCUAAGAAUAGUGCCUGCCAUGGAAGUACUCAGUUAUUAUUAUUGCUGAAAAUUAUCUCUUAUGUGGACAUCCAAGAAUGUAUAGCCAUAGGAGCUCUAAAAAUUUAGACAAGGAGGAAAUCACGUCUAGCUGAAGUCAUCUGGGAAGGCUUCCUGGAGGAGGUGGGAUUGAUUUAUUUACUUAUUUAUUUUGCUUUUUAGGGGCACUCCUGUGGCAUAUGGAAUUUCCCAGGCUAGGGGUCAAAUCAGAGCUGCAUCUGCUGGCCUAUGCAACAGCAACAGCAACAUGGGAUCUGAGCCAUGACUACAACCUACAACACAGUUCAAGGCAACACUGGAUCUGUAAAUCAAUGAGUGGGGACAGGGAUGGAACCCGCAUCCUCAUGGUUACUAGUUGGGUUUGUUACUGCUGAGCCAUAAUGGGAACUCCCAGGAGGUGGGAUUUAAACAAGCCCUUAAUGAAUGGAGACAAUUCAACUAGGUAGAGAGAAGCAAGGGAAAUUAAUACUUUUGGGACUCCUCCCCCCAACACAUACAAAAAAAGGCAGAGAGGAGGAGGGGUAUAUCCUAUCAGGAAGAGACUUCAGGAGAGCAGAGGACUUGUGAAGGGAGCUAAUUGGUGACAAGUCUUGCAUGGUCCCCUGUCCUCUUGUGUCCUCCUUCCCCACAGGCUAGCACUAAUGCCCUGCCUUGCAUUGGGCUCUGGCCCAACUAUUCCCCUGAAAGAAAAUCCAUGCUGUCCUCUGAGAGACACUCCUAGCACCAUUCUGAAUCCUUUCUCUUCCCGAUGCCUAACAGGAAAAAUUACCUCACGGUAUGAUGAUUAUAGGGAGCUACAGAAUCCCCAUUCAUUCGUCUAGUAAAUCCCUACACAUGGAAUCAAAAGCUGUGAGUCUAUUUUGGGCAGUAGAGUGCUUAGGAAGAAAAGUGCAGGAAAUGUGAAAUGAGAAGAUGGCAGCAGAAUUCCCAUCUGUGCAGACACUGAAAGGCCCAGAUUACAGAACAUGAGAGAGAAAUGCGGUGAGUUCCCGCAGCGAUGGCUGGAUGGGCUCCAGCAUGGAGGCUGCAGAGGGCAGCAGCCAAAAUGGCUGCAAGGAUUUCAGAGACCAGGGUUCCCAGGCACCUUCCUCACACAGAUCUGUUUAAAGAGAAGAAAAUGUAUUUUUACAGAUGUUCCAUAGUCUGGUACUUCUUAGAGCCCUUACAAUUUUGAAG
rnacentral:lncRNA from 1 species